rfam:Oryza glaberrima chromosome 6 Oglab06_0025_13, whole genome shotgun sequence.
AAUAAAUGUAGUUUUGCACUAUUCACAUUCAACAUUUGACCGUUUGUCUUAUUUGAAAAUUUUUUAUGAUUAAUAUUUUUAUUACUAUUAGAUGAUAAAACAUUAAUAGUACUUUAUGUAUGACUAUUUUUUAAAUUUUUUUUAUAAUUUUUUUAAAUAAGACGAACGGUCAAACGUUGGACACGGAUAUUCACGGCUGCACUUAUU